CAGUCGCCGCGGUAAUACGAAGGGGGCUAGCGUUGUUCGGAUUUACUGGGCGUAAAGCGCACGUAGGCGGACUUUUAAGUCAGGGGUGAAAUCCCGGGGCUCAACCUCGGAACUGCCUUUGAUACUGGAAGUCUUGAGUAUGGUAGAGGUGAGUGGAAUUCCGAGUGUAGAGGUGAAAUUCGUAGAUAUUCGGAGGAACACCAGUGGCGGAGGCGGCUCACUGGACCAUUACUGACGCUGAGGUGCGAAAGCGUGGGGAGCAAACAGGAUUAGAUACCCCCGUAGUCCCUGUCUCUUAUAC
rnacentral:rRNA from 1 species